rnacentral:snoRNA from 12 species
UUGCCCUUUUAAAGUUAAUGCAAUGGUUUGAGAGGCUAACACAGAAGGGCAAAAUAAGUGUCUAUAAAACCCAGGGAAGAGGUUAUAAAAAUUUUCUUGGAUCCUAUCUGGACCCAAGAAA